rnacentral:lncRNA from 1 species
CUGCUAGGGCUCCCGAUGACCUUGACACCAGGGUGCUCCGUGCAAUGAUCACCAAGGGUCUGAUCGAGCCCAUAUCCAGUGUUUUUGUGAACUUGGUUAAUGCUGAUUUCAGCGCUAAACAGAGGGGACUAAGAAUAAGUGAAGAACGCAUUCUUGGAGAUGGUUCACCUGAGAGUCCACUUCACUUUAUCCAGGUUCAAAUCGCCAAUGUGGAAUCAAAAUUCGCCAGUGCCAUAUCUGAGAAUGGGGAGAUUAAGGUCGAGGGACGAGUGAAGGAUGGAAUUCCCCAUUUGACCAAGGUUGGAUCUUUUGAGGUGGAUGUGAGCUUGGAAGGUAGCAUUAUACUAUGCCGACAAGUUGAUCAGCCAGGUAUGAUUGGCAAGGUUGGAAGCGUGUUGGGAGUAGAGAAUGUCAAUGUCAGCUUCAUGAGUGUUGGAAGGAUUGCUCCACGAAAGCAAGCUGUCAUGGCAAUUGGAGUUGAUGAGCAACCCAGCAAAGAAACUUUGAAAAAGAUUGGCGAUAUCCCAGCCGUUGAAGAGUUCGUUUUCCUCAAGUUAUAGGGUGGCUUUGUCAUUUUGCUAAUUUUUUUCCAUGGCAAUUCUACUGGAGUGGGUAUCAUUACUUCAUUGU